CACAAUUUAGAUUCUCCCCUUCCGCACUUUGAUAGCUGGAUUUGGAUAUCAAUCAACAGCUGGGGACUGUCUUGAUUGGGGUAUCCGAUUGUAUCGAGUGGACUACAGCAGAGAGAACUUGGAAAAAAAUGAAAGGACAGAAAUAGUGUCUUUCGAUCUCUGGUUGUUUCUUUAUGUAAACCAGUGGUUCCUAAAGGAGGUGAUAUUGCCCCCUGGGUGUGAACACGGUUUCGCUGCAGUCGCCCAACUUUAUUCAAAGCAAUGAAACAGACUACAAAUUACUGAACAUGGGGAUUUGAGACUCCUCCUGAGUGACAUUCAUCCUAAUGUUGAGAAGUUAAUAUCCCCACCAAGCCCAUCCAUCUCAUUGAAAAGUGAAAAAGCAAUGAGGUGCUUUAGAUAUCUGAAGUUCUGAAACAUCAUGCUAUCCCUGGUAGAACCUCAGGACAGGCGCAGCCAUCUUAUCAUGAGCUGUUGACAUCUGCAGUUAAUGUGCGGUAAUCGUAGAAGAUAAAUUAGGUUUGAACAACAUCAUUGAAGUGUACGGUUUAAAUUUUAAAAGCAAUGCAGCAGGUAUCUUUUCCAUGACUGUGUGAUUUGUGUUCCAGUCUGCAAAUAAAAACUGAACUUAAUUUUGGAAAGAAUGAAUAGACUGUGUGACGAAAGAGCGUUACAAAAAGUACACAUAGAUUAACAUGUUAACUGUCCUGUGCUGGCACCAGUGGGAUCAACAGUUGGUCUGCCACCUGUCUUCAGGAGAAAGAGAUAAGGAAGACAAUGGAGCAGCAUUUGGAAAUGUUAAUGAAGAGAUGAGAGAGUUUAACGGAAGGAGACACCGGUCUGGGAACUGUCAAGAUCGGCUCCUUUUUGAACCCUGAACUGUUUGAAGUGUGAUGGACAGGCGAUACCCCAGCAGGGGGAUAAAAAGGGACAGGUUCGCUAAGGCAGCACACACACGAUACCAUGAGGUAACGAGACCCUGGAAGCGGUGCGCCUCCCAUAAGUCGGUGGGAGUUGUUGGAGGUCUGGUCGCGGGACCAGCCAGAGACGCACAGGGUAGAAAGGUACGGAUCGGCGGGAACCUGGUGUGUGUGUCCACCCUUGCCUGGGUGCUGGGUUCACCGUGGAAGAACGAUCGUAUCUGAAACGGAGGGGUCACAGUCGGUGACCCCUCUCAGAAGACAUUACAAAGGGCUCGCCCGAAAGCUGACUGCGAGGAAUAUCGAAGGUCUGUGUGGAAGCCAGUUUGAAUAUUCAUUCGCUUUCGCUCUCUCUCUCCUUCCUCCCUCCCAUCCACCCCCCCCCCCCCGUCCACCGGCACAGCAGUGAUUACUGUGAACUGAACUGAACUCAAUUGAACUGAACUUUGCGUCACUUUGAAACUGGUCAUUUACCCCUAGACAACGAUAGAGCUUGAUUGAUCCUAGUAUCCUAGUUCUGUGUACAUGUGUGUUUAUCAUUGCUGAACUGUUGCAUUUAUUAUCCUUUUGAUUAGAGUACUGUGUUGCUUAUUUCUUUAAUAAAACUUUCUUA